rnacentral:lncRNA from 1 species
AUGAUGUGUAAAAUUAGUUAUAAAGUAAGUUAUAUGGAGAAGAAUAUAUCUACAUACAAGAAAAGAAGUCUCUUGCUACGACUUUGUCACGCGGUUGCCGCUUUUCAAUAUGCCAUCCAACACAUUUCUAGCCUUGUUCCAUGUUCCAACCUUAUCAUCUCCCAUCCUCAUUCGUAGCUUCCAACUUCUCUAUUCCUCCUAUUUUCCAACCUCCUUAUUCCCUUUGUUCCUCUAUUCCUUUAUUUAUA